GGACACUUUUUGUGGAUGGAUAUGGAAAUGAUGGAAGACGGAUUUAUGAUUCCUUCAAAGGAAAGACUUGUCAUCAAUGCCGGCAGAAAACGCUUGGUCAUCGUACUCACUGUGUUAAAUGCAAUAUGGUCCAAGGGCAGUUCUGUGGAGAUUGUUUAUACAUGAGGUACGGGGAGCGUGUUCUUGAAGCCAAUGAGAAUCCAAAUUGGGUUUGCCCCGUGUGUCGUGGAAUUUGCAAUUGUAGUUUGUGUCGGCAAGCAAAAGGUUGGGCUCCUACUGGCCCUCUUUAUAAGAAGGUAA